UACGUAGGGGCAAGCGUUGUCCGGAUUUAUUGGGCGUAAAGAGCGUGUAGGCGGCCAUACAGGUCCGUUGUGAAACUAGGAGGCUUAACCUCCAGACGUCGAUGGAAACCGUAUGGCUAGAGUCCGGAAGAGGAGAGUGGAAUUCCGUGGUGUAGCGGUGAAAUGCGUAGAUAUCGGAAGGAACACCAGUGGCGAAGCGGCUCCUGGUCCAGCAUCGACGUUCAGGCACGAAAGCGUGGGAGCAACAGG
rnacentral:rRNA from 1 species